rnacentral:rRNA from 1 species
AUACGUAGGUGGCAAGCGUUGUCCGGAAUUAUUGGGCGUAAAGCGCAUGUAGGCGGUUUGGUAAGUCGGUCGUGAAAAUGCGGUGCUUAACGCCGUAUGGCGAUCGAAACUUCUGAACUUGAGUGCAGGAGAGGAAAGGGGAACUCCCAGUGUAGCGGUGAAAUGCGUAGAUAUUGGGAAGAACACCGGUGGCGAAGGCGCCUUUCUGGACUGUGUCUGACGCUCAGAUGCGAAAGCCAGGGUAGCGAACGGGAUUAGAUACCCCGGUAGUCCUGGCCGUAAACGAUGGGUACUAGGUGUGGGAGGUAUCGACUCCUUCCGUGCCGGAGUUAACGCAAUAAGUACCCCGCCUGGGGAGUACGGCCGCAAGGCUUAAACUCAAAUGAAUUGACGGGG